UGAGAUUCCAGAUUCUCAGGAUGAACAGUUUUCAGGACGAGUCCAGAGUGACAAAGACGUCCUCAGAGAAGGACGAAUCAGACUCCAUGUGUCCAGACUGAGGACUGAAGACUCUGGUCUGUAUCUGUGUGACGUGAAAACUGAAGAUGGUUUCAACUCUGGAAGAUGUCGACUCAGCGUUACUGCAGCUGCUGAUCAGAUCCAAACUCAGAGAAAAACUUUGACUCCAGAACCAAAGAUAGGAGGAUGGAGUAUCCUCUUCAUCACUCUGGGACUGAUAGCAGCUCUACUGGUUCUAUUAAUAAAUAAUAAUAAUAAUAAUAAUGUUGAUUAUUUGUUUUAGGAUGAAAAGAAAGAAUCAUUUUGAAUCAAGUGUAGAUGAACUAUAUAACCAACACAUAUAACGGGUUUGUUCGCUAUAGUUUAGUUUAAAACUAAUUUUGCCUCACAGAAAAAUAUCAGAUUUGUUUCCAUCUAUUCUGAUUAACAUGUUAGAUCAUCAUGAAUGAAUGUUUUGUUAUACUAACAACAUUGAGUCAUUUAUUGUUGUUGAUUUAGAAAUUUUAAAUAAUUUUUAAAGGUUUCUGGACUCAGUCAGAAGUAUUGAUCAAUUAUUGUGUCUGAUAACUGAUCAAUGAUUCAGUUAUCAGACUGAAUCAUUGAUCAGACAUUGGUUUAUUGACCAUCAGUCAUUUUGUGGUUGUUCACACCAUCACUGUGACCAAAGUGAUGAAUUUGUUACAUUUACAUUCAUGUUUUUUAAAUAAUGUUUUAUUGUUGAGUUAUGAAGAUUUAAAAUCUGUUAUUUUCACAGAAAUAUUUUUAACAAACACUUUUAUAAAUAUGUUGUGAAACAAAACAUCUAAAGAUUUUGACGAUUUUGUUAUAAAAAUAUUUUUCCUAUUUUUAGGUUAAAUCAAAGGAUUAACUUUAAAGUGAUGAUUUUUAUACAUUACAUUUAUUUUAGAAAUCAACACAACAUUAUGACAUAAAAGUGUUUAUACUUUUCUUUAACAUAAAUCUUUACUCAGUGUUAGUUUAUUGUUUCUUUAUUGAAAUGUUAUAAAUAUGAAUGUUGCCAUUUCAUUACAACAUUGUUACAUUUUCAAUGGGUUCAAAGUUUUUUCUUUUAACUUAAUGUUUCAACUCAAAGUGUCUCAUAAUAUCAUAUUUUGAUCAAAUGUAUUUUUGUGAAUCUGUGAAUGUUUCUGGUUUUAUAUCAUGUAAUAUGUGUGAUUGUGUUGCUGUGAACUGCUGAACCGAGUUUAUCUUUUGGGAAAAUUAAGUAUUGUGAAGUGCAGAAGCUGAAGUUUAAUAAAUAUAAUUAAUGUGAUUUAAAGAAGAUUAAUUUAGUGCAAUAAAAUAAGAGCCUGUCUGUGUCAUUGUUCUGCUGCAGGAAGAUAAAAUGUACGACAUUCACUGUGUUGUGAUAGAA